UGAGUAAUCUGCCCCGGUUCUACCUGAACCGCUACGUGCGGUUGUUUCCGCUGCUAGCGGCGGCCGUGGUGAUGCGCGCCGCCGAGCCGCGCCUCACCGACGGGCCCAGGGCGGUGGACUACGCUCAAGGGGUCGUUCGUUGCCGCGAGUACUGGUGGAGCGCUCUGCUGCACGUGCAGAACAUUGUCAACCCGACAGAAAUGUGCUUGGGUCACAGCUGGUACCUGUCGGUGGAUAUGCAGCUGCACGUGGUGUCGGCGCUGCUGCUGUGCGG